rnacentral:rRNA from 1 species
UACAGAGGGGGCAAGCGUUGUUCGGAAUUACUGGGCGUAAAGGGCGCGUAGGCGGCCUGUUAAGUCGAACGUGAAAUCCCCGGGCUCAACCCGGGAACUGCGUCCGAUACUGGCAGGCUUGAAUUCGGGAGAGGGAUGUGGAAUUCCAGGUGUAGCGGUGAAAUGCGUAGAUAUCUGGAGGAACACCGGUGGCGAAGGCGGCGAUCCUGGACCGAUAUUGACGCUGAUGCGCGAAAGCGUGGGGAGCAAACAGG